rnacentral:rRNA from 1 species
AUGCAAGUCGAACGAGCGAGAGAGAGCUUGCUUUCUCGAGCGAGUGGCGAACGGGUGAGUAACGCGUGAGGAACCUGCCUCAAAGAGGGGGACAACAGUUGGAAACGACUGCUAAUACCGCAUAAGCCCACGGUGCCGCAUGGCACAGAGGGAAAAGGAGCAAUCCGCUUUGAGAUGGCCUCGCGUCCGAUUAGCUAGUUGGUGAGGUAACGGCCCACCAAGGCGACGAUCGGUAGCCGGACUGAGAGGUUGAACGGCCACAUUGGGACUGAGACACGGCCCAGACUCCUACGGGAGGCAGCAGUGGGGAAUAUUGCACAAUGGGGGAAACCCUGAUGCAGCGACGCCGCGUGGAGGAAGAAGGUCUUCGGAUUGUAAACUCCUGUUGUUGGGGAAGAUAAUGACGGUACCCAACAAGGAAGUGACGGCUAACUACGUGCCAGCAGCCGCGGUAAAACGUAGGUCACAAGCGUUGUCCGGAAUUACUGGGUGUAAAGGGAGCGCAGGCGGGAAGACAAGUUGGAAGUGAAAUCUAUGGGCUCAACCCAUAAACUGCUUUCAAAACUGUUUUUCUUGAGUAGUGCAGAGGUAGGCGGAAUUCCCGGUGUAGCGGUGGAAUGCGUAGAUAUCGGGAGGAACACCAGUGGCGAAGGCGGCCUACUGGGCACCAACUGACGCUGAGGCUCGAAAGUGUGGGUAGCAAACAGGAUUAGAUACCCUGGUAGUCCACACCGUAAACGAUGAUUACUAGGUGUUGGAGGAUUGACCCCUUCAGUGCCGCAGUUAACACAAUAAGUAAUCCACCUGGGGAGUACGACCGCAAGGUUGAAACUCAAAGGAAUUGACGGGGGCCCGCACAAGCAGUGGAGUAUGUGGUUUAAUU